GGCUGUAGCUCAGUGGCAGAGUGCUUGCCUAGCAUGUGUGAGGCACUGGGUUUGAUCCUCAGCACCA
rnacentral:tRNA from 1 species